rnacentral:lncRNA from 1 species
AGAAAUGCGAUUGGCAACACUGUUCCAGUUAGUUAUCCGGUAGAUAAGCUUAAAAGUAAGUUUGGAUUCCGAACACACCUGACUUUUAUGUUUAUUUUUAUAAUUUCAGCUUUAACUUAACCUAACAUAAUUAGAUUCAAAGAUGAUUUUAUCGAUUUUAUUUCCAUUUUGGAAGAAGGAAAUGUAAUCACAGAAUUACAACUUAAUAGGUUUAGUCACAACUUAACUUAGUUUAGUCACAGUUUUUUUGCUUAUACGAAACAGUUAGUUCACUCUAGUUUUUAUGCGGUUCCUGCGCUUGCAGAAACUCCUAGCAGACUGCGUAGUAGACUAGGAGGAAAAUGUUGCUGUUGCAAGAUUUAAAAUAUUCCGAUAAAGAAUAUUCCAAAAUUAUAAUAAAAUAAUUAUGAUUAUCGAUUUUUUUCAAAAAGCUGAAAAUUAAAUUCAUAAAUGGUAAAAUCCUUUAUGUACACACUUGUAUAAAAUUUGAAAAUUAAUAUCUUCUAAUUAUUGAUUGAAUGUAUUCAGAAAAUUAAUCACAAGUAACUAUCUAAAUUGGUGACAUUUGGCAACAGUGAGUAGAUCUGGUAUAUGUCUAUUCCAAACAUAACCUUAUAUUAUAAACAGUUGUUUAUUUAGAGUUAUUUAUUAUUGUUUUCUCAUAUUUUGCAAUUGUUAAGUUGGUUUACUUCGAAUUUAAUAUGCAUUACUGUGGUAUUUCUCCAGUUUUCUAAGAAGUUUGGUGAUUUUGAAUUGGGAUUAUGAUGAAUUUAACCCAAAGGCAAUGUGUGUUUAUUUAUGUGGCAAAAUUCCAGGCACCAUAAAAAUUUGAGUUUCUUCCUGUUGCCCAUGGAUGAAAUCGGUUUGCAGAAUGAAAAGAAAUUGUUCAAUGUGAUAUACUUUCUAUGAACAGUCCUCAAUAUUGUUACAUUAACUUUUAAAUAUGCACUUUACAUCUUGAGGAGCAGGCCUUUGCAGAAAUACUGAAAAGCGGGUUGCAAAACAACGCAAAAUAAAACAAACGAAAUAUGUCUUGAGAUUAAACAUUCAAGUUGAAGGUGUGUUCUUUCUUAAACUGAAAUGAUAAUUUUGUAAUUAUGUAGGCACAUCUAUUGAGAAGUUACAACCAGUGGCAAAGUGCCUUAAGGGAAUCUAUGACAUAUAAUUGAAGGGACAUCUCCUCUGAAGGAAUUACAAUUAUUUGCCAGUAUGUCAAAUGAAUUUAUUGAUGAAAAUAAAACUAGGUACAUGAUUUAUUAUUUACUUCCAAGGGAUUCUAAGAUACUAUGUGUAAAAAGUCCAAUAUGCAGUGAUGAGCAUGCUAAUAACUGGCAAAAUAUGGGAUAUAACGCCAAAGAUGGGAAACAUGGGAUGCAUUCUGAAAUAAAAAGAGAUGAAACUGAGAGAAAUUAUCCAUAUAAACAUAUAAAUCAACAUUACAUUACAUAGUUUCCCACCUUUAGACGUAUCAGAUGAGUAUGAGAACUGUCACUGUGACAGGAGAAUUUUAUAAAAUACUCCUGUCACAGAGAUCUAAAGGUGGGAAACUAUGUAAUGUUAUCAUCGGCUAAGAGUGUUAACCUGCUAACCCCAUUUUUCACUGUGAGUGAUAUUGGGGUAGUUUCUACAUCUGUGUACCUUCAUACCAUGUCCCACAAGCCCGCUGGUUCCACUGUAGUUUAGAGAUAGCUAUUUCUAAACUACAUUGGUGUCGGCGGGUUUGUGGGGUGCUGUAUGAAAAUACACAGACCCAGAAACUAGCCCAAUAUCACUCAAAGUGAAAAAUGGAGUUAGCAGGUUAAAACUCUUAUCCAACGUUAUGUUAAUUUAUUCGUUUAUAACGAUAAUUUCCACUUCUACCAGUUUCAUCUCUUUUUAUCUCACAAGUUAAUAUGUUUUCCAUCUUUUGCGUUAUUUUGCCGGUUAUUAGUGUGAGUGCUCAUUACUGUCUAUUUACGAUUCUGUGAUUUCUUAAUAUGAUGCUGAGUAGGUGUAGAUGAGUAUCUACAACCCUUUCAAAACAGAAAUUUAUGAGUUCAUUUUAUGUACCUAUUAAACUUUAUUUUAAGGAUGAAUUUGAAAUGCUUGUAGGGAAUAUAUCUGUAAAAAUAAAAUUGGUAUUGUAAAAUUGAAAUUCUCAAAAUAUAAUUUAUAAUUCGAA